UCAGGUUUUUCCAGGUGCGGUUGAUCAAGCGGAAGGCUGACGUCUGCGUAGUCAGCUCUGGGGCUCCACACAUCCUCACUAAACUGUAGUAAACUAACACAUCGUCUUAUAGGCAGUGAUGUCGAUACAGAAAAACGCGCCUCUCGCUUCAUUUCUCACCUGAGGACGGAGGAAGAGGAGACCUGCGGCUCAUGGCCGUGAUUGUAGUCGCUUUCAUAUUGGUGUGCACCGGGUCAUGGGACCAGACUUUCCUCACAGCCGAGCAUUUCAUCAGAUGAAGAAUGGAGUCGUUGCAGUUCUGACUACAUCAUCUGUCCAUCCCAGACACAUCCCUCCUAUACUUGUAUGACGCACUGUGUUUUAUUGCUGCUUUAUGCUGUUCAUUAGAGUGUGCAUUGUUCUGAAGUGUUUAAAUUGUUUUGUUCUUCCUAAGUUGUAAUUUUUAUCAGUACAUUUAAUUUUUUUGACAUUGUUAUUAAUUUAAAAUGGAUGUAUGGUUUGGAAUUGAAUGUUUUUUAAUUGAGUGUUAAGCCAGGGGCAAACAAACUGGCAUAACUUUCUUUGGAAUUCUAGUGGACAUCCCAAAUUUCCAAAAAACACUAGAACUGUCAGGCUGAAUUUGAGGAACUGCGUAUAGAGGAUUGAUAGCCUGGAGAUUCUCAGAGCUGUUGGAUAAGUUCAAAAGAUGACGGCAGAAGAAAAUUUAGAAAAUUUCACUACUAAUGUAAAGGUGUAACACAUGCAAAAUUAUUGGAUUUUAAAUUAAACAACAAAGAACUACCUUAAAAUUUAAUAUGACGGUAUUUAUAUCCACAUCUGAUCAACAAUAAACAUUGUAAUACAUGUAAGUGGUACCCCAGUGCUAGGGGGCCUCGUAUAAAUUCAGGAUUUAAUGUAGUAUGAAGUCAAGUUAGACUCAAGAAGGUAGAUGCACUUAACAGCAUUUUAGAUAUCAGAUAAGUUUUUGUUUAAAGCACAAUUUUAUUCCUUGAAUAAUCUUUGUGGAAACAGAAACUGCACAAAAGCAGGAAGUGUUAAUGACCAGACCAUUUCAAAAUGCAACAAAGACUUAAUUCUGAUUAAAAUUCAGCGAUGAA